AACGCUAGCUACAGGCUUAACACAUGCAAGUCGAGGGGCAGCACAAGGCAGCAAUGCUGAGGUGGCGACCGGCGCACGGGUGCGUAACGCGUAUCCAACCUUCCCGUUACUCAUGGAUAGCCUUCCGAAAGGGAGAUUAAUACAUGAUGGUGUUCAAAUCUCGCAUGUCAUUUGAACUAAAGAUUUAUCGGUAACGGAUGGGGAUGCGUUCCAUUAGCUUGUUGGCGGGGUAACGGCCCACCAAGGCUUCGAUGGAUAGGGGUUCUGAGAGGAAGGUCCCCCACACUGGAACUGAGACACGGCCCAGACUCCUACGGGAGGCAGCAGUGAGGAAUAUUGGUCAAUGGCCGGAAGGCUGAACCAGCCAAGUAGCGUGAAGGAUGAAGGUUCUAUGGAUUGUAAACUUCUUUUAUAGGGGAAUAAAACCUCCCACGUGUGGGAGCUUGUAUGUACCCUAUGAAUAAGCAUCGGCUAACUCCGUGCCAGCAGCCGCGGUAAUACGGAGGAUGCGAGCGUUAUCCGGAUUUAUUGGGUUUAAAGGGAGCGUAGACGGGAGAUUAAGUCAGCUGUGAAAGUUUGAGGCCCAACCUUAAAAUUGCAGUUGAUACUGGUUUCCUUGAGUGCGGUUGAGGUGUGUGGAAUUCGUGGUGUAGCGGUGAAAUGCUUAGAUAUCACGAAGAACUCCGAUUG
rnacentral:rRNA from 1 species